rnacentral:rRNA from 1 species
ACGAGGGGGGCAAGCGUUGUUCGGAAUUAUUGGGCGUAAAGGGCGCGUAGGCGGUUUGGCAAGUUUGGUGUGAAAUCUUCGGGCUCAACUCGAAGUCUGCAUCGAAAACUGCCGGGCUUGAGUAUGGGAGAGGUGAGUGGAAUUUCCGGUGUAGCGGUGAAAUGCGUAGAUAUCGGAAGGAACACCUGUGGCGAAAGCGGCUCACUGGACCAUAACUGACGCUGAGGCGCGAAAGCUAGAGGAGCAAACAGGA